rnacentral:misc_RNA from 1 species
GAUGAAGAACGUAGCGAAAUGCGAUAAGUAAUGUGAAUUGCAGAAUUCAGUGAAUCAUCGAAUCUUUGAACGCACAUUGCGCCCCCCAGUAUUCUGGCGGGCAUGCCUGUUCGAGCGUCAUUUCAACCAUCAAGCCCUGCUUGUGUUGGGGUCCUGCGGCUGCCCGCAGGCCCUGAAAACCAGUGGCGGGCUCGCUAGUCACACCGAGCGCAGUAGCACAUCUCGCUCAGGGCGUGCGGCGGGCUCCAGCCGUUAAAGCACCCACCUUUCGCAAGGUUGACCUCGGAUCAGGUAGGAAUACCCGCUGAACUUAAGCAUAUCAAUAAGCGAAGGA